ensembl:lncRNA
GAGCAGGGCAGGAGAGGCGCAGGGAGGAGCUGCAGAAAAUCACUGAAUUCUGCACAUUUCUGAGAUUUGAGAAUUUUGGGAGAGGUGCAGCGAGCGCUAGGCGCCUUCCUUCAGCCCCGAUUAGCUCUGCGGGCUGUUUUCUUAUAGCUCUGCUUUCCCCUUUGCUCGAGGUAGGGCUUUCAGAGGAGGAAAAUGAGAGAAGUGUGGAAAAACGUGGAGGAGCUGCAGGGAGGGUGAGCGAGAUUUGGGGCGAAAGCGGGGCUUUUCGCCAGCCGAAGAGAAGUGCAGGGGGAGAAAAGCGAACGCUGAGCUAAAAUGUGAAGUUCUGGAGUGAAAGAUGGCUCUGAGAGAAGAUGGAUGGAAGGAGGAGAAAUGGAGAGCGAAGAGGACAGGGAGAAAUGAGCAAGAUGGAAAAAAUGGGUGGCGGUGCGGAGUUGGAAGGAGUUUCAGAGCGAGCAGGAGGAGAGGCGUUUUGGUCCCCAGCGGCGCUGUUUUGAGGGCGUUGUAGGAAGAUUUGGGAUUUCGGAGCCGGGAGUGGAAGAGCGGAGGCGGCGACGAGGCAGGGAGGAGAAAUUUAGAGGAGAAAAAAGGACUUUUUGGUUCAAACUGCACAUGGGGCCCUGGGACAGAACGCGGAAGUCAGGAGAAAAUGGAAACAGGAGACAAAGAGGCAAUGAUGGCAAAAAUGGAGGAGAGGAGGAAGUAAUGGAAAAAAAAAAAAAAGGAGAACGUAAUAGGAAAAAAAAAAAAAAGGAGAAGAGAGGAUAAAAUAAUGGGGGGAAAAGGAAAAUAGGAAUUAAUAGAAAACGAGAGAAGAGAAGAAUAGGAAGUAAUAGAAAAAAAUAAAGUAGAAAUGGAAGAGAAAAUAGAAAAAAAUAGGAGAAGAGCAGAAAAUAGAAAAAAUAGAAAAUAGAAAAUGAUAGAAGAUAAAAUGGAAGAUUAGAAAAUAAUAGAAAAAAUGAAGAAAUUGAAGAGAAAAUAGAAGAUUAGAAAAUAGAAAAAAAUAGAGGAGAAAAC